UCGAAUUUUAUUUUUUUGUAGAGACUCUUUAAGAAAUGUCAAUUGUACUUUUGAUUUUGUUCUGUUUGAUACCAUUCGGUACGGCAAAACACGAAUUUAUUGAUAAAGUAAACACGGCUAUUAGCGAUUGUUGCUCACAACAGAAUGAACAGUCGGAAUUUUCUAAUGU